CACGUGGGUAACCUGCCUGUAAGACUGGGAUAACUCCGGGAAACCGGGGCUAAUACCGGAUGCUUGAUUGAACCGCAUGGUUCAAUCAUAAAAGGUGGCUUUCAGCUACCACUUGCAGAUGGACCCGCGGCGCAUUAGCUAGUUGGUGAGGUAACGGCUCACCAAGGCGACGAUGCGUAGCCGACCUGAGAGGGUGAUCGGCCACACUGGGACUGAGACACGGCCCAGACUCCUACGGGAGGCAGCAGUAGGGAAUCUUCCGCAAUGGACGAAAGUCUGACGGAGCAACGCCGCGUGAGUGAUGAAGGUUUUCGGAUCGUAAAACUCUGUUGUUAGGGAAGAACAAGUACCGUUCGAAUAGGGCGGUACCUUGACGGUACCUAACCAGAAAGCCACGGCUAACUACGUGCCAGCAGCCGCGGUAAUACGUAGGUGGCAAGCGUUGUCCGGAAUUAUUGGGCGUAAAGCGCGCGCAGGCGGUUUCUUAAGUCUGAUGUGAAAGCCCCCGGCUCAACCGGGGAGGGUCAUUGGAAACUGGGGAACUUGAGUGCAGAAGAGGAGAGUGGAAUUCCACGUGUAGCGGUGAAAUGCGUAGAGAUGUGGAGGAACACCAGUGGCGAAGGCGACUCUCUGGUCUGUAACUGACGCUGAGGCGCGAAAGCGUGGGGAGCGAACAGGAAAGAUACCCUGGUAGUCCACGCCGUAAACGAUGAGUGCUAAUUGUUAGAGGGUUUCCGCCCUUUAGUGCUGCAGCAAACGCAUUAAGCACUCCGCCUGGGGAGUACGGUCGCAAGACUGAAACUCAAAGGAAUUGACGGGGGCCCGCACAAGCGGUGGAGCAUGUGGUUUAAUUCGAAGCACGCGAAGAACCUUACCAGGUCUUGACAUCCUCUGACAACCCUAGAGAUAGGGCUUCCCCUUCGGGGGCAGAGUGACAGGUGGUGCAUGGUUGUCGUCAGCUCGUGUCGUGAGAUGUUGGGUUAAGUCCCGCAACGAGCGCAACCCUUGAUCUUAGUUGCCAGCAUUCAGUUGGGCACUCUAAGGUGACUGCCGGUGACAAACCGGAGGAAGGUGGGGAUGACGUCAAAUCAUCAUGCCCCUUAUGACCUGGGCUACACACGUGCUACAAUGGGCA
rnacentral:rRNA from 1 species